CCGAGGCCGUUUACCAUUGCAGCGCCCCUUCCCCAGCCAUCAUGAGGUACACCCUACUCAAAAUUUCUCCUCUCCAGCUCUCGACUGUAAAGAUCUUCGUGCCUCCAUUCGAACUGUCAUUUUAUUUUGAAUUGAACUACGGGUGCUCUUCAUUCAGACCUGAGGGAAGAAAGGCAGAACCUUUCUUUCGUAGGCCGUCAUAGAUGGAUCGGCAAGGUUUUUUCCGGCUCACUGUCAGUGAUAAUAAACAAGUCAUUAGUCAAGAACAUUCGUUGGAUAAUGAAUUAGAUGUUCUAGGACCUUCAUAGGUUGUACCGGGAAUUAGGCGAGCACAUUCGUGGGAUAAUGAAUUAGGCGACCAACAGUCCAACCCGACUGCCCCAAGCAGUUCACCGUCGCAGCUGCUAGGCUGAUUGCGUCGAGCCUCCUGCCACUGCCGGUGGGGCUCCAUCGCUGCACUGCCCAUACCGUUCACCGCCGCCACACCGGGUCAUUCAAGGACACAACCCGAAGCAGUUCUACCCUGCGGCUCAAGAGGCACACACUUCGCCCCUCCAUCCCAGGAGAGCAGUACAUCUCCUUGUGCACGAGCAGUCCAUUGCCAAUGUACAUAGAUGAGAGGAAUUAAGUUCAGGAAGAUUAAAGGGUAAUGUUUAGAGAUGAGGCUGAGGGAUCUGGUUCAACACCCAUCACCCUUGUUUGGUUUUAUCAAUACUUGAUAAAUUACUAGAAGUUCAAAACAAGAUGUAGAAAUUCAUGUUUCCUGUGUAUAUAAGUUGUAGAAGUUGAUGCUUAAUAUUCUAGUUCGUGCUCCUCUGCAGGUCAACCUCCUGGGAUACACGAAGUUUCAGUUUGUCGAGAGGCUUCCUGGAGGUUCAAAACAUUUCACUUCACCUUUUUAGGCUUUUUCAGUACACCUUACAAAGUGUGUUUCCUUUCAUCAUUUUUGUCUACUUAAAAAGAAGUGUAGAAGCUUUAGGAAAUACCCCCAAAAUUAUGUGUGCCCUCAGCACUCUUCUACGUGCUUAUUCUAAUGCUUAUGAGAAUUAUUCUUCAAGGUCAUAAUUUGGAACUAGAUAACUUUUCAUAGAUGAUUGUACUGAAGCUAGGUGUUUAACAGAAUUAUUUCUCAUAAGUUUGCAACUCACCUUGGUCUGGGUUUACAUCUCAUCCACACCAGUUCACGAAAAAAGUUGGAACUUGCAUCUAUAUUUAUGUUUCCAGUUACCUUCGGUUAAUUGUACUGAACUUGUCUAAUUGUAGCUUACUAGUACUAAACUUUUGUGCCUGUGCUACCUUUUGUAGAUAGUUUUUGCCAUGUGCUUCUAUUGAACUUGUGUGUGGUUGCUUUUGAACUGUUCCUUAGUGAUAAUUCCUGGAAUUUGAAAUAAAUGCAUAUGUGAUGCACAGUUGCAGAUUGUAUAUCAUGGCAAAGACUAUUUCAAUGGGAGGUUCAACCAGAAGAGUUCAAAACACAAGAACUCUAGGAGUUCGCAGAACAAAAUCUACUGUGAGAGUUUGCACUUGUGUGUGCAGUGCAUGUGUUAGGUGUAUGUCUUUUGUGUAUGAUCUGGACACUGAAGAAAGAAAACACAAGGACUCGGUCCAUGUAUAAUUUUCUACCGUUUUUGCACUAAAAUCUUUGGUCUGAAAUGUAUGAGUUUUGUACAAUAUUUGGCUUUGUAUGUUGUAUCUAUAACAUGUGACUUAUAGCGCCACUGUUUAUCGAAAGAAAAAUCCAGUUACAGCCUCUGCAGUUACAUUAUUGUGGAAUUUUUUACUGUGAAUAUCAUACCUCUAAAAAUUUAUUGCACAAAAAUAACUUCAGUGGUUAUUUUGAGAAGUACAAACUCUCUGGUACGAUAAGUUCGAGUGGAAGCUCCCAG
rnacentral:lncRNA from 1 species